AACGAACGCUGGCGGCAUGCCUAACACAUGCAAGUCGAACGAGACCUUCGGGUCUAGUGGCGCACGGGUGCGUAACGCGUGGGAACCUGCCCUUAGGUUCGGAAUAACUCCCCGAAAGGGGUGCUAAUACCGGAUAAUGUCUUCGGACCAAAGAUUUAUCGCCUUUGGAUGGGCCCGCGUUGGAUUAGCUAGUUGGUAGUGUAAAAGCCUACCAAGGCGACGAUCCAUAGCUGGUCUGAGAGGAUGAUCAGCCACACUGGGACUGAGACACGGCCCAGACUCUUACGGGAGGCAGCAGAGGGGAAUAUUGGAAAAUGGGCGAAAGCCUGAUCCAGCAAUGCCGCGUGAGUGAUGAAGGCCUUAGGGUUGUAAAGCUCUUUUACCCGGGAUGAUAAUGACAGUACCGGGAGAAUAAGCUCCGGCUAACUCCGUG
rnacentral:rRNA from 1 species